AGCAAUGUAGGACAUGGCUUAGAGAAGAAGUUCCAAUGCGGUGAGAUCAUGACUGGAAACAAACUGCAUUUCAGGCCUAAGUAUGAGAGGUUCCUGGUAGGCUGUAAGAGCCAUGUGGAAAGCGAGUUCAUUCUCAACUUGCCAAAGACUGGAAGUGAGACGGUCUGAGGCCUGUCUCCCCUUAAGGAAGCCGGGCAGGCCAUUGAGACUUCCACCUCUAGGUCAAUGUAUUACAACGAAGAUCAGAAGUUCUACUUCAGUGAGAUCAGGCCUUGGAAGAAACUGCGUUUCACAGGCCUUUGUGAGAGAUGUUCCCACUAGGCUGUAAGAGCACAUUGGAGAGCGAGUUGUUUCUUAGCUUCCCAAAGAGCUGGAAGCAAGACGCUUGUGGUCUGUCUCCCCUUGAGGAAACAAGGCAGGACUUUGUAUCUUGCACUUCUAGGGCAACAUAGAACACGGCAACGCAGAAGUUCUACUUCAGUGAGAUCAUGG
rnacentral:lncRNA from 1 species